rnacentral:lncRNA from 1 species
UCUCAUUAAAACAUUGCUAGUAAAAAGGCCUAUAGGAAAAAUCUAACGAAUGAAAAAUAGUACAAUAUUCUCAUAAUUAUUUAAGUUGUUCUUGGUAUUUUAGUACUGUCUUGUUAAAAACCUUGUCAGUAAAACCUAAUAUGACAAAACCCGAAUGAAGGGAAAAAAGUACAGUACACUAACAUUCUUUUACAAGCAUACUCCCUCUCAUGUCAAUAUCCUUGAGUUGACG